AAAAUACUCAUGAGCUGGAACUGCAAAAGCAAAUCCCAUCCUGCACAUCAGCUCUCCCUGCAAGUUUCCUAGGUUCUUCAUUUUUGAACGCACUCAGGAGUGAUGCAGACAUGAGCCCUGUGUGCAGCUGACCUCCCUUAGGCUGACAGAGUCUUGGACCUUGAACCCU